GAAAAGAAACUAACCAGGAUUCCCUUAGUAACGGCGAGUGAACCGGGAAAAGCCCAACUGAAAAUCCUUCGGGAAUUGUAGUCUACAGAAGCAAUCUCUGUGUCGUCCACGGCCCAAGUUCCCUGGAAAGGGACGCCGGAGAGGGUGAGAGCCCCGUCGGCUGUGUUUCGUCACUCCACGAGAUGCUUUCUCAGAGUCGGGUAGUUUGGGAAUGCUGCCCUAAUUUGGAGGUAAAUUCCUUCUAAGGCUAAAUACUGGCGAGAGACCGAUAGCGAACAAGU
rnacentral:rRNA from 1 species